GAGGACUAGAGGACCAGCUGGAGACCAGAGGACUAGAGGACCAGCUGGAGACCAGAGGACCAGCUGUGUGUGAGUGAGAGUGGCUUUAACAGUUUCUUACUCACUCACUCUACAUCCUCCAAUCGGAACUCACCAGGCGAGGAGCUGGACCAAUAGCAGGCAGAGGGCGACGGUCCCGGCUGUGGUCUGGGCAACGCCCCCCAGCUGGAGGACCACCGCUAGGUUUAUCAGCGUGGCCACGGACGUCCAGGUGGCGUAGAGGGCCAGGCCGUUCUGAACCUAUCACAGGACACGCUCAGCACGGUCCCCACAACGCCUGCCUCCUGCCCUAACACUGAGUACCUCCCAACUGCCCUCCUGAUGGUUAACACUGACCUCCCGCCUUCUGCCCUCCUAUUGGUUAAACAAUGCCGAAUAUCUCUCCUUUUGUUUAAAACAAUGUUAAAUUCAGUGUGAUGAGAUCAGAUCCUCAAAUAUGGAACAUAAGGAAGACGGUGCAGGUUAAGGUUAGGUAAGUGGGGUUGAUUGUGUCGCUGUGUGCUGCUGCAGGCUGGGACAGCUCUGUCUGGUAAAACUGAGCUGGUUCAAUAAAGAUUAUUCAAACUCUACCAGUAUGCGCAGGCAGGCCAGGUCUUUUGGCUGGUGGGUCUGCAGCCACAGACCAUAAUUAUCAGUAGCGUAGCAACAGAAGAACAAGGCGCCGUAGCUGGACAGAGUGAGCAUCACCAAGACGACCAGCGCCGCCACCAUCGCCCUGGAAACAACAAGCACAUCACCAAGGUCCACAGAAUGGAGAAACAUGAGGCUUUUACUUUGAAACUGACUAAUGUCCACAGGAUGGAGAAACAUGGGGCUUUUACUUUGAAACUGACUAAUGUCCACAGGAUGGAGAAACAUGGGGCUUUUACUUUGAAACUGACUAAUGUCCACAGGAUGGAGAAACAUGGGGCUUUUACUUUGAAACUGACUAAUGUCCACAGGAUGGAGAAACAUGGGGCUUUUACUUUGAAACUGAGUUAUGUUCCCAGUCUAGUAUUGAACAGUAGUGUGUAUUAGUACUAGAGUACUCAAACAGUAGUUGUGUAUUGGUACUACAGUAGUGUGUUCUCGUACUACAGUAGUGUAUUAGUAUACGUACUCUCGGUCCCACAGCAGCAGCCAGCUAAUGUUCAGCAGCAUGUUGACCAGCCAGCAGACGUAGAAACCGUAGGGUAACACACACAGGGCCCACGCACUACACAAAAACACACACACACACCCCUUCCAUCAUAAUAGUAACACAGAGCAGACCUUUAUGUUCCAUAGUGUGUGUGUGUGUGUGUGUGUGUGUGUGUGUGUGUGUGUGUGUGUGUGUGUGUGUGUGUGUGUGUACCCUCUGAACAGGUAGGAGGAGAUGUAGAUCAGGGCGAGGCAGAGCCAGGUGUAGAUGAGGCCCCAGAUGGAGAAGGUCCAGCCGGCCGGAGUCACGUCCGUCUCAUAGCGGGACGAGACGUUACCGGUGCUGGAGCCAAACGGACCUGCACACACAGGGGUCAGGCUAGAGGGGGGGGGACGCAACCCUCACAUGUAGGCUGUAUAAGUUAGACAGUACAAAGACGGGUCAUUAAGGAGCAGGUAGGGGUUAGACAGUACAGAGACGGGUCAUUAUGGAGCAGGUAGGGGUUAGACAGUACAGAGACAGGUCAUUAAGGAGCAGGUAGGGGGUUGACAGUACAGAGACAGGUCACUAAGGACUAUAACUAUGAAUGAACGUAGUUGACAUAAAGUUGGUCACUCCCUGUAGUCUAGUUUCUGAUUAUUGUUCCCAUCGCAGUUCAGCUUCAUGUUGGUUGACCAACAAAGUAAAGUUAGAAUGUUGUUCAGAUAAAAUCAGAAGUUAAUUCAUCAGUAUCGACCGCACGGUAAGACAAUAUUAUAUACUACAUGACAUCUAUGAAAACUCCGUGUUGCGUUCACCUCGCCCCGCCCCAGCCAAGCCGUUGACGACUAAAGUUGUGAGGAAAGACACGACGGACAGCCCGAUGGCGGCAACCCGGGAGCAGACCUCCAGAGACAUCCUCUGCAGAGAUGAGGAAGUAUUGGAAGAGAAGAGAUGAAAAAAAGAAGAGCAGAGACACGACGCCUGAACAGAGAAAGUGAGGUCUUCUUCUCUCUGCUGCUCAGAAAGAAGCUACAAGUGGAAACAGAAGAUAACCCAAUACUGCCCCCAACAGCCAGGCGCUGAUUAACGCAUUAGGACCCCCAGCAGGUCCUCAGAGUGGUCUGCUGCUUCAGGACCGCACUCCUAAGACCGCCGUCCCAGCACCCUGGGUUUCCUUUAUUUUUCUUUGAUGGCUAACGAAUCUCAUGAAUUCCAGAGCUGAUCUGGAGCUGAUCUAGAAUUUCUGGUAGCCAUCUUUCUAACCCUUGCGAUAAGUUUCACUUUGCUGACGAGUAAACUGAGGAGAGCCGGACAGGGCAGGCACGGUGGAGGAGGGAGAGGACAGAAAAGAGGUCAAGGUACUGCAUUAAUAUAACAGAGGAGUAUCAGGUCUCUGUCACUGUCAGCUAUAAGUGCCAAGCUGGCUCCUCAGCCCAGCAGACACUCGCUGUGGUUAGGGUUAAAGCCCUCUUCGCCGGCCAGCUCCUCAAGCAGCUGUUCUGAGUCCUCACAUUCAGGAUCCACGUCCUUCAUGCAGUUCCCCAUCAGCAUGUAGAGGUAGUCCAUACCCUCAACUCUCCUGGGAAGGAGAACAAUAAUGGACUACAAAUAUGGCGUUCUGCGGUCACAUCGGCACAACUGAAACUUUCCACAUGCCCCGGCUUAUAAUGGUUUUCACCUCUUUCGAUGCAUUUAUCCUCCCUUUGGAAAAAAGCGGUGAGGGAGCAGAGAGAUCGCCGUGUCUGUACCGGAGUUCCAAGUGCGGGUGGUGACUUAUAUAAUUUGCGUCGAGAGCAUCGAAGAGCUGUAGUUCACAAAGCGGCCUCACACUAAACCUAACAUUAUAGAACUUCUUCGUGAAUAUUUUUUGGAUU
ensembl:lncRNA